UAUAUAGCUCAGUUGGUAGCGCGUGAGACUCUGAAUCUCAAGGUUGUGUGUUUGAGACCCAUGUUGGGCAAAA